rnacentral:rRNA from 1 species
GGCUUUUGGUUUUAAUUAAAAGUCUGGCCUGCCCACUGAAGUUAAUUAAAGGGCUGCAGUAUUUUGACUGUACAAAGGUAGCAUAAUCAUUAGUUUCUUAAUUAGGAACUGGAAUGAAUGGUUUUUCGAGAUAUCAGCUGUCUACUAGAUAAAUAAAUUGAAUUUUAUAUUUAAGUUAGAAAGCUUAAAUGAGUUUUGGGGACGAGAAGACCCUAUAGAUCUUUAUAUUGAAUUCAAUAAUAUUAUCAUGUGGUUUAAUUGGGAUUUAUUGUUUUUGAUAUUUUAUUGGGGUGAUACGGGAAUAUAUAAACUUCUUGAAUAUUAUAAACUUGAAUUGAAGAAUUUUGGAUCCUUAAUUUAGGAAAGAAGAUUAAGAUACCUUAGGGAUAACAGCGUUAUUUUGUUAGAAAGUUCAUAUUAAUAACGAAGAUUGCGACCUCGAUGUUGGAUUAAGAUUAUUAGCUGGUGCAGAAGUUAGUUAAAUAGGUCUGUUCGACCUUUAAAUUCUUACA